ACGCUCGACACCUACGGGAGACAGCAGUGAGGAAUAUUGGUCAAUGGGGCGCAGGCCUGAACCAGCCAAGUAGCGUGAAGGAUGACUGCCCUAUGGGUUGUAAACUUCUUUUAUAUGGGAAUAAAGUUUUCCACGUGUGGAAUUUUGUAUGUACCAUAUGAAUAAGGAUCGGCUAACUCCGUGCCAGCAGCCGCGGUAAUCUGAGCGGGCUGGCAAGGC
rnacentral:rRNA from 1 species